UUUAAUUACAUGAAUUAACAAAGAGCAAAUGGCAAAUGAUUGAUGGGGUGGUAUAUACCCCGUACUGAAGGACAUUCACAUCUCUUUUAUGAGUUUUGUCAAAAUGAUGAGCAUGUGAUGGCAUUAUUAGAUAUGUAGAUUUGGAUAACACGUAUAGCUUAUCAUAUGAGGAGACCAUGUGCGCAACUAAUACCUUUUCCAUGCAUGGCGCAGCUGUUCUUUUAGCUUGUGAUCAAUUAUAUGCCUACAAAUCCAUUCUCAUAGUGAAGAAUGAAUGAAUGAUGUUCAAUAUGAAUAUAUAUUGGCAACUUACUCUAUAGAUGGCAACUUCAUCAUGGGGUUAACUAAUAUAUAGCAUUUAUUUAUGAAAAUUCAAGUGAAGAGUUAGUGUAAUAUUCACUUUGAGUGAGAUUAAUUCUUCAGCAUUUAGCUAAGUGAUCCUUACUUCACUACAAGAAAUUCUGUUAAUUGU
rnacentral:lncRNA from 1 species